GGCAACAAAGGGGGAAAAGAGAUAGGGUGACACGGCUGACUGUGGCAUUCACCUUCAGGUUCCCUCAAGUAGACGUUCAAAAAUGUAGAGGGUGACAGAGCGUCUAAGCAGGUAAAUGGGAGAAAUCCCCCAGAUGACUUAGGGUUAUACUAGGAGAGAUAACAGGACACUUCACCCAGAAGAUCUGCUUCCCACGUUCUUUACUGCCCCCCCUCCGUUACCUAACGAGGCUUCUACAAUCACAACAUGCUUCGACAGAGAGGCAAGAAGGGUGGUUAUUUGUAGAGAAUUACACUGUUCAUUCUAGAUCCUUGGAUAUAGAUCUGAAACAAGAAUCAUCAAACAUUUGAAUAUAUUUAUGAAACAAGAAUCACCAACGUAAUGGAAGAAAAACAACAACUCAACUGGAAAAAGAAACUCCAAAAAUAUAAUCGGGGAACAGUGAAAUGAAGAACAUUUCAAAUAUAUUACAUCAAUCUUCAGAGGGAUCGAAGAAAAAAUCAUACUCUUUGGGGAUCAAUGAGUGCCAGAGCUGGACCUCAGAAGGGCACACAAUGCCAGAAUGAAGCUUAUUCAGCAAGAGAAUCAGAGUCCUGGUUGAGCUGACAGAUAAAAGCCAUAUAUCCUCUAGCCUUAGACUUCAUGACAGACGCUAGCACAGUUACCAGCAACAGGGGAAAAGUGACACGAUUGCUGCGAAGUCAGUGAGGACCACGCACAGACCUCAGCUGGAGCUAUCAUUUUGAGAGAAUAAUUAGCAUAUGGAUGGCAGUUAAGGCUGAGACUAGCCGAGGUCACCAAGACAGUGACCUUUAGACACUGGACAGAGAGGACAAAGCAGCAAAAGAGACCAAAGAUCUACUAGUGAAGCUGGAGGAAAACCUGAAGAGUUUGGGGUUCUGUAAGCAACUGGGGAAUGUUAAGAGAAGAGUGACCUGCCAUAUCAAA